rnacentral:rRNA from 1 species
AUUGAACGCUGGCGGCAGGCUUAACACAUGCAAGUCGAGCGGAGUGAUGGUGCUUGCACUAUCACUUAGCGGCGGACGGGUGAGUAAUGCUUAGGAAUCUGCCUAUUAGUGGGGGACAACAUUUCGAAAGGAAUGCUAAUACCGCAUACGUCCUACGGGAGAAAGCAGGGGAUCUUCGGACCUUGCGCUAAUAGAUGAGCCUAAGUCGGAUUAGCUAGUUGGUGGGGUAAAGGCCUACCAAGGCGACGAUCUGUAGCGGGUCUAAGAGGAUGAUCCGCCACACUGGGACUGAGACACGGCCCAGACUCCUACGGGAGGCAGCAGUGGGGAAUAUUGGACAAUGGGCGCAAGCCUGAUCCAGCCAUGCCGCGUGUGUGAAGAAGGCCUUAUGGUUGUAAAGCACUUUAAGCGAGGAGGAGGCUACUGAAGUUAAUACCUUCAGAUAGUGGACGUUACUCGCAGAAUAAGCACCGGCUAACUCUGUGCCAGCAGCCGCGGUAAUACAGAGGGUGCAAGCGUUAAUCGGAUUUACUGGGCGUAAAGCGCGCGUAGGCGGCUAAUUAAGUCAAAUGUGAAAUCCCCGAGCUUAACUUGGGAAUUGCAUUCGAUACUGGUUAGCUAGAGUGUGGGAGAGGAUGGUAGAAUUCCAGGU